rnacentral:rRNA from 1 species
UACGUAGGGGGCAAGCGUUGUCCGGAUUUAUUGGGCGUAAAGAGCGUGUAGGCGGCCAGGUAGGUCUGCUGUGAAAACUCGAGGCUUAACCUCGAGAUGUCGGCGGAAACCAUCUGGCUAGAGUCCGGAAGAGGAGAAUGGAAUUCCCGGUGUAGCGGUGAAAUGCGCAGAUAUCGGGAGGAACACCGGUGGCGAAGGCGGGUCUCUGGGCAGUAACUGACGUGAGGAGCGAAAAGCGUGGGGGGAGCGAAAC